UACGUAGGGGGCUAGCGUUGUCCGGAAUCAUUGGGCGUAAAGAGCGUGUAGGCGGUCCGGUAAGUCCGUUGUGAAAGUCAAGGGCUCAACCCUUGAAUGCCGGCGGAUACUGUCGGGCUAGAGUCCGGAAGAGGCAAGUGGAAUUCCCGGUGUAGCGGUGAAAUGCGCAGAUAUCGGGAGGAACACCUAUGGCGAAGGCAGCUCGCUGGAACGGUACUGACGCUGAGGCGCGAAAGCGUGGGGAGCGAACAGG
rnacentral:rRNA from 1 species